rnacentral:rRNA from 1 species
GAUGAACGCUGGCGGCGUGCUUAACACAUGCAAGUCGAACGGAAAGGCUCCUGCUUGCAGGGGUACUCGAGUGGCGAACGGGUGAGUAACACGUGGGUGAUCUGCCCUGCACUUCGGGAUAAGCCUGGGAAACUGGGUCUAAUACCGGAUAGGACGAUGGUUUGGAUGCCAUUGUGGAAAGUUUUUCGGUGUGGGAUGAGCUCGCGGCCUAUCAGCUUGUUGGUGGGGUAAUGGCCUACCAAGGCGUCGACGGGUAGCCGGCCUGAGAGGGUGUACGGCCACAUUGGGACUGAGAUACGGCCCAGACUCCUACGGGAGGCAGCAGUGAGGAAUAUUGCACAAUGGGCGCAAGCCUGAUGCAGCGACGCCGCGUGGGGGAUGACGGCCUUCGGGUUGUAAACUCCUUUCGCUAGGGACGAAGCGCAAGUGACGGUACCUGGAGAAGAAGCACCGGCUAACUACGUG